rnacentral:rRNA from 1 species
AGCGAACGCUGGCGGCGGGCUUAACACAUGCCAGUCGAGCGGGCACUUCGGUGUCAGCGGCAGACGGGUGAGUAACACGUGGGAACGUACCCUUCGGUUCGGAAUAACGCUGGGAAACUAGCGCUAAUACCGGAUACGCCCUUUUGGGGAAAGGUUUACUGCCGAAGGAUCGGCCCGCGUCUGAUUAGCUAGUUGGUGGGGUAAUGGCCUACCAAGGCGACGAUCAGUAGCUGGUCUGAGAGGAUGAUCAGCCACACUGGGACUGAGACACGGCCCAGACUCCUACGGGAGGCAGCAGUGGGGAAUAUUGGACAAUGGGCGCAAGCCUGAUCCAGCCAUGCCGCGUGAGUGAUGAAGGCCUUAGGGUUGUAAAGCUCUUUUGUCCGGGACGAUAAUGACGGUACCGGAAGAAUAAGCCCCGGCUAACUUCGUG